GAUGAAGAACGUAGCGAAAUGCGAUAAGUAAUGUGAAUUGCAGAAUUCAGUGAAUCAUCGAAUCUUUGAACGCACAUUGCGCCCGGUAGUAUUCUGCCGGGCAUGCCUGUUCGAGCGUCAUUUCAACCAUCAAGCCCCAGCGCUUGUGUUGGGGGCCUGCGGCUGCCGCAGCCCCCCAAAAGCAGUGGCGGGCUCGCUAUCACACCGAGUGCAGUAGUUCAUCUUCUCUCCGGUCUUGUGAGGCGGGUUCCGGCCGUGAAACACCCCACUACAUUCAAGGUUGAGCUCGGAUCAGGUAGGAAUACCCGCUGAACUUAAGCAUAUCAAUAAGCGGAGGA
rnacentral:misc_RNA from 1 species